CAAGUGGAUCAAGGCAG
rnacentral:tRNA from 2 species